ensembl:lncRNA
AAGAAGUCUAAAAAACCACAGCAAUCUGCAUAAAGAUACUGUGAUACGUUCCGUCUGCCGCUGAAGAAGGUACAAGGAUCUAGGACUCACCUGAGGUUUUCAACAGAGUUCUUCAGUGAUGAAUGAUCUUCAGAUGGGGUUGGUAGAGACAUCAUUUUUAUACUGAUUGCUUCAACCCUCUGCGAGUCUAAGCUUCUUAUUAACAAACUGGCUUCAUCCCAGAAAUUCAUAAGGGAUUAUAAUGUAGUUACAUAAUCAUAGCUAUUUGAGUUCUCUGACACAGAAAAAUAAGGUGACAAAAUGGCACUUCUCGGAUUAUCACAGAAUUACAAAAUCACAGAAUUGGAGCUGAAAGGGACAUCCAGAGAUCAACGAGUCCAGCCCCCCUGCAAAGAAGGCUCCCUACAGCAGGCUACACAGACAGGGUUUCUUAGCUGAUGGACUAUUCAGAACAUACUGAACCUCAGUAAAAUAGAUGUGAUGUCUCAACAGGGAAAGGAUUACCUUCUUAACCAGCAGCACUCCAGCUGUUUUGGCCCAUAUUCCUCAAGAUCACAAACUAAACCAGGGGUGCUAUAGCCCAGACUCCCUACAAAAUCAACUUAUUUGAUGAGUUCAUCUGCAAUGGUGAAAGCAACUGGGAGGAGUAAUUGUGCUUCUCCACAGCAAACAAAGAGAAAGAUUCAUGACGUGCCAGGUAGCUUCACCUUUCUUCUUCUGGGUGAAAAUCCUCUGGGGAAUGCCACUCCUCCCCUCCCCUCCAAGAACCAAAUGCCCCCCAAAAACAGUCCACAGAACCAUAACAUUAACUCUUUAACUCCCACCAUUUUACGUGAUGUUAUGAUGUGGAAUACCAACAACAAAAAUUACAAAACCAUUGCAG